CUGUCAUCACUGUGGGUCCCCACCCUCGGGAACCCCGUCCCUCUCGCUCCUUGCGCGGCGAUGUCUCUGGUCCCUAAUCCCACAGCCUUUUUUUUUCCCAAGCGGGUGUCGAGGUGGGCGUGAGGAUGCAGUAGCUGAGCCCCUCGCAGCCCGCAUGCAAGCACAUCAUUUGGCUACCGGUGCCGGGGUUGGGAAGUCUUGUUUGUAACCGUGACCACCCACUGCUCUCAACGUGAUUCGGCAGUCAAAUCGGGAGCGCGGGCUUAAGUUGCUGGUUUUGCGUGACUCUUGAACUCCGAAAUGGGUUUUGAUUGAGCAUUAUCAAAUAUUUCCUUACUACAGGUGCGAAAUAGCACUGAAAGUGCGUGAGGAAAAGUCCGUUUUACUUAACUAAAUGAAACGUUGCAGGACUUUAGUUCAAUAUUCUUUCACUUGAGGGGGAGAACUGGGGGGUGGGAAGGGGAGGAGAAGAGAAUAACCUGAAAUAUGGAGAUCUUCCUUUCUUCUUUUUCCUGCUCUAGUGGAAAGUAAAAGCCCUUGGGAAAACUUCGCAGCCUUUUCCCCUGAGCGCGGAGGGGCACCUACAGCUGAUUCUCUAGGAAAAUGUAUACAAUUACCACUCGUUUUCUUUCUCCUGGAACAACUAAUUGUACAAAUGAAAGGUCAGGCAUGUGCUUUUCCUAUGUUUAUCAGCCACAACAAUGAGCCCCUUCUAUUUUUUCCCCUGGUGCAUUAUAUUGCAAUAAAGUGCUGCCGUAGUGCCGUCUCUUUGGGUAAACAUCUUCAAAGGCGAUUUUGCAAAGCCCAGCGGUGCGUAUAUAUUCUCAAAGCUCUCAAUGGCCGGGGAGAAGCCGAAAGCGAGGUGCGGGUUGUGGGGGCGUCCGCAGCCCCCCCGAGCCGCAGAGGCACACAUUUUCCCCGCUGCCCCCGGCCGGCUCUGCCCCGGCGGAGGGCCCGAUCCUGCCGCCCGCAGCCCGGCGUUUCUUUGUCCCUCGUGGCUUGUGUCGCUUUUUAUGGGGCGGGACGGAUCCUGCCCCUCUCCCCCGGGGAUCCAGACCACCUUGGCAUGUUCUCCCCGCUUGCCUCCGGAGCGUAAACCCGGUAGUCCCGAAGGAAAGCCUGCCAACGCCUCCUAAUCCGUGGCAGGUUUUUCUUUCCAUCUUACGAGGAGACCUCUGAUCACAUCUUCAGGAACAAACCAUGAGCCCGCCAAGUCCUAAAAAGGUUUCAAAUACGGGACACAACUUCUCUGUGCCAGCUCGGUGCGAAGAGUUCAUUGGACCUAGUCCCUGUGGUAUAGAUGUAUAAUAUUCAAUAUUUCCAUCAACAGGUUCACUUCACUUCACCUGUUACGUGGGGAACAGGUAUCCACUGGGACUGUGCCUGGGGCGAACAUACCUGGUGCUGAUAAAGCAGUUUUAUCCCAUCCCGUUAACUACUCUGAGGGCAUCUUUCCGGGAUAUUUACCGAUGUGUGCUGUUGUCCUUAACCAAAAUUUGCUCACUGCUCACAGUCCUAGUGGAUGCAUUUUUCCACUAAUUUGUCCUUGCUGAACAGAAACAUCUCUGCACUCCUUACACCUGUGAACUGAAGGAGCAGAAUAGCUCUAUAGACCUGUUGGGAGCUGGAAGGAAACUUCAGGAGCCAUGAAGUGAGCAGGAGAUCUUGAUUUCUCGUGUGAAUCUGUCUAUUAUGUUGUGCCUGUUCAGAUAAAAGUUCAUUUUUAUUUAUUUUUUUAAUCGUGCUGGCUUGUGAUGCCCAGAAAAUUUCUCAGAGGAGUCUGUCUCCACCGAGAUCCAAAACACGGGGCUGUUUCUCUCCCUGUGGAUAGGCAUCACUGCCCUAUUCCUUGCAGUAUCUGUCAAGAGGGUGUCAGGGUAUACCCGACAACCGUGGACAAACAGGUGUCGUUUAAACCAGCACUAAGCUCUGAAUGCCUUUGGAUCCAGCAUUUCUGUCAUAACUAAGUGGAAAAAAAAAAAAAAAGAAAAAAAAAAACAUAAUCGGUCCAGCAGUGAAGGGGAAGAGGUCUCUGACGGACACCAGGCGCAGUGCGGCCUCUGGAAAUGGCAGAAGCGGUCAGAGCGGUGCAAAGCCCGGGCGCUCGGCUCCCAAACGAACACACGGGCUGACAUUUUAGAUCCGGCAGGCUCCGAGCAUUUAGGCCUGCACAAGGAGAGGCCAAUGCCAUUGCUCCCGGUAUGUUUAGCUAAUUGUCUAACAACUGCGCUGCACAAGAGCUACAAGAUAAAAGGCCGCAGCGACCCUCAGCAAGGCGGAUGCGGCUGGCAGUAAAACUUGUCGCUCCUCUGAAAGGCCGCUCAUUGUGCUGAUGGAAAAUCGUUCUUCAGACACGGAGCAAAGUCUCAGCCCGACUUCACUGAAGUUGCCUGUUUUACAGAAAGGGCAAAUAAAAAGAGAGGAGUUCCCGCCUGCACUGAAAGAAUAGCUCAACAUCUGUCAUCCCAUUCUCUGCGAUGGCCCAAAAUCAGGAAGACUACAGCUGUCCUGUUCCUUUCAGAUACUUCUGGGAUAGAGAGGUUGGGAGUUAUGCUAGAAGUGCUGAGUGCUGGAUGAAGAUGAAAACAAGCGAUGUAAAUUAAUGUAUUCCUUGCAAGCUCAAAAAUGACAUCGAUUGAGAUAUGUCUGUAUGGAGAAGAAGAGAGAGGGAAAGGAAGGGGGAGGAGGGGAAGAGGUUGGGAAGAAUAUGCUACCACACACACAAAAAAAGUUUCAACACAUACCCUCACUGGUUCAUUGGUUUAAUAUCUAGCAAAUUAGUCAAAAGCAAAAAAUAUAAUGGAAUUUCAAGUCAUUUAUUGAGUGAAUUAUACUAUUCUCUUCCAAUAACAAACUAGGAGUCAAUAGUAGAUUGUAUGUUACUUUUCUUAUAACAACAAUUAAGAGCUACUGCAGUAAUACUCAGAGUCCCAACCAGUGGCAAUUGCUUUAGGUAUGCAGCUCUCUCACCUGCAAUUUAAACUUCACAGUCCCAAGAUCUGGGGAAAGCAUCACAAAGCGCAGAUUGCUCAGAGGGUUUUAGGCAUUGUGAGACCCAGCUCUGCUGUCCAGGGUAAUCUACAGUCUGAUGUUAGGCCUUCAGGCUCCCUGUCACACCUAUGGUGAUGGUUAGCCUGUGGUUACGGGUGAUUUCGAUUUGGCUUGCAUCCAUGGCUGCUGCUGAAAGAACAGCUCAGCUGCACAGUCAUGCUGUUACCUCCUACUUAGAUUCAAGCAUGUUACUUAAUGUUUACCUGCUGAUCAUAGGCACGGAAGAAUGACAGCAAAAAGGAAGCAGUUUCUCAACAAAGUUGGUCUUGAUCCAUUUAGGAUUUUCUAAUUAAAAAUAAAUGAGUUACAUUUCUGCAGAUGCACCAGUCUAACUCCAAGGAAUUUACUGUUAGCAAGUGCUAGAAUGAUGAGAACUGCUGG